CGAGGGGCAGCGGGGGAGUAGCAAUACUCCCGCCGGCGACCGGCGCACGGGUGAGUAACACGUAUGAAACCUGCCCGUAGCAGGGGGAUAAGCGGAAGAAAUUCCGUCUAAUACCGCGUAACAACCCAUGGAGGCAUCUCUGUGGGUUUAAAGGAAGCGAUUCCGGCUACGGAUGGUCAUGCGUCGCAUUAGCUUGUUGGCGGGGUAACGGCCCACCAAGGCGACGAUGCGUAGGGGUUCUGAGAGGAAGGUCCCCCACACUGGUACUGAGACACGGACCAGACUCCUACGGGAGGCAGCAGUGAGGAAUAUUGGUCAAUGGCCGCAGGGCUGAACCAGCCAAGUCGCGUGAGGGAUGACGGUCCUAUGGAUUGUAAACCUCUUUUGUCAGGGAGCAAAGGGCGCCACGUGUGGCGCUUUGCGAGUACCUGAAGAAAAAGCAUCGGCUAACUCCGUGCCAGCAGCCGCGGUAAUACGGAGGAUGCGAGCGUUAUCCGGAUUUAUUGGGUUUAAAGGGUGCGCGGGCGGAAUGUCAAGUCAGCGGUAAAAUUUCGGGGCUCAACCCCGUCGUGCCGUUGAGACUGGCGUUCUUGAGUGAGCGAGAAGUAUGCGGAAUGCGUGGUGUAGCGGUGAAAUGCAUAGAUAUCACGCAGAACUCCGAUUGCGAAGGCAGCAUACCGGCGCUCAACUGACGCUCAUGCACGAAAGCGUGGGUAUCGAACAGGAUUAGAUACCCUGGUAGUCCACGCAGUAAACGAUGAAUACUAACUGUCCGGGCAGAAUGAUGCCUGGGUGGUACAGCGAAAGCGUUAAGUAUUCCACCUGGGGAGUACGCCGGCAACGGUGAAACUCAAAGGAAUUGACGGGGGCCCGCACAAGCGGAGGAACAUGUGGUUUAAUU
rnacentral:rRNA from 1 species